GACGAACGCUGGCGGCGUGCUUAACACAUGCAAGUCGAACGGAAAGGCCCUGCUUUUGUGGGGUGCUCGAGUGGCGAACGGGUGGGUAACACGUGAGUAACCUGCCCUUGACUUUGGGAUAACUUCAGGAAACUGGGGCUAAUACCGGAUAGGAGCUCCUGCUGCAUGGUGGGGGUUGGAAAGUUUCGGCGGUUGGGGUUGGACUCGCGGCUUAUCAGCUUGUUGGUGGGGUAGUGGCUUACCAAGGCUUUGACGGGUAGCCGGCCUGAGAGGGUGACCGGCCACAUUGGGACUGAGAUACGGCCCAGACUCCUACGGGAGGCAGCAGUGGGGAAUAUUGCACAAUGGGCGGAAGCCUGAUGCAGCAACGCCGCGUGCGGGAUGACGGCCUUCGGGUUGUAAACCGCUUUCGCCUGUGACGAAGCGUGAGUGACGGUAAUGGGUAAAGAAGCACCGGCUAACUACGUG
rnacentral:rRNA from 1 species